rnacentral:rRNA from 1 species
AGUUGAUCCUGGCUCAAGAUUGAACGCUGGCGGGAUGCUUUACACAUGCAAGUCGAGCAGCGGCACGGACUUCGGUCUGGUGGCGAGUGGCGAACGGGUGAGUAAUGUAUCCGGAACGUGCCUAGUAGCGGGGGAUAACUACGCGAAAGCGUAGCUAAUACCGCAUACGCCCUUCAGGGGAAAGCGGGGGACCUUCGGGCCUCGCACUAUUAAACGGCCGAUAUCGGAUUAGCUGGUUGGUGGAGUAACGGCUCACCAAGGCGACGAUCCGUAGCUGGUUUGAGAGGACGACCAGCCACACUGGGACUGAGACACGGCCCAGACUCCUACGGGAGGCAGCAGUGAAAUUUUGGACAAUGGAAACCCUGAUCCAGCCAUCCCGCGUGUGCGAUGAAGGCCUUCGGGUUGUAAAGCACUUUUGGCGGAAAGAAACGGCACGGGAUAAUACCCCGUGCAACUGACGAAGCCUGCAGAUAAGCACCGGCUAACUACGUGCCAGCAGCCGCGGUAAUACGUAGGGUGCAAGCGUUAAUCGGAAUUACUGGGCGUAAAGCGUGCGCAGGCGGUUCGGAAGAAAGAUGUGAAAUCCCAGAGCUUAACUUUGGAACUGCAUUUUAUACCGAGCUAGAAGUGUGUCAGAGGUGGAAUUCCGCGUGUAGCAGUGAAAUGUGAAUGUACGGAGGAACACCCGUGGCGAAGCAGCCUCCUGGGAUAACACUGACGCUCAUGCGCGAAAGCGUGAAUGACAGGAUUAGAUACCUGGUGAGUCCACGCCCUAAACGAUGUCAACUAGCUGUUGGGGCCUUCGGGCCUUGGUAGCGCAGCUAACGCGUGAAGUUGACCGCCUGGGGAGUACGGUCGCAAGGUCAAAACUCAAGGAAUUGACGGGGACCCGCACAAGCGGUGGAUGAUGUGGAUUAAUUCGAUGCAGGCGCGAAAACCUACCCUUGACAUGUCUGAGAUCGAAGGGUGGUGCUCACUAAGAAACCGGAACACAGGUGCUGCAUGGCUGUCGUCAGCUCGUGUCGUGAGAUGUUGAGUUAGAAUCCGCAACGAGCGCAACCCUGUCAUUAGUUGCUACGAAGGGCCUCUAAUGAGACUGCCGGUGACAAACCGGAGGAAGGUGAGGAUGACGUCAGAGUCCUCAUGGCCCUUAUGGGUAGGGCUUCACGUCAUGUGGGUCGGGACAGAAGGUCGCCAACCCGCGAGGAGUAAUCAGAAACCCGAUCGUAGUCCGGAUCAAGUCACAGCUCGACUGCGUGAAGUCGAAUCCGCUAAUCAUGAAUCAGCAUGUCGCGGUGGACGUUCCCGGGUCCUGUACCACCGCCCGUCACACCAUGGGAGUGGGUUUUGCCGAAGUAGUUAGCCUAACCGUAAGGAGGGCGAUUACAGUAGGAUUCAUGACUGGGGUGAAGUCGUAACAAGGUAG